rnacentral:lncRNA from 1 species
UGCAAUUCAAUUUCAUUCGAUCUCUCCAAUCAGGUUAGCCCUAUAUCCAUCAUCUUUAUGCCUUCAAUUUGAAUUUUCUGAAUAUAUGAGGUAUUAUGGGUGAAUUUGAUACCCUUUUAAUGUAUGUGUUUGACAAGAGGUUUAGGCCUCCUACCCUUGGUUGCUUUUUGUGAGCUUUUUGUGAAUUGAAAGGGCAUGAUUCAUGUGGUUACAUUUUGAUUUGGGGGCAAC